CCUACGGCGGGCAGCAGUGGGGAAUAUUGGACAAUGGGCGAAAGCCUGAUCCAGCCAUGCCGCGUGUGUGAAGAAGGCCUUCGGGUUGUAAAGCACUUUCAGUGGGGAAGAAAGCCUUGGGGCUAAUACCCUCGAGGAAGGACAUCACCCACAGAAGAAGCACCGGCUAACUCCGUGCCAGCAGCCGCGGUAAUACGGAGGGUGCGAGCGUUAAUCGGAAUUACUGGGCGUAAAGCGCGCGUAGGCGGUCUGAUAAGCCGGUUGUGAAAGCCCCGGGCUCAACCUGGGAACGGCAUCCGGAACUGUCAGGCUAGAGUGCAGGAGAGGAAGGUAGAAUUCCCGGUGUAGCGGUGAAAUGCGUAGAGAUCGGGAGGAAUACCAGUGGCGAAGGCGGCCUUCUGGACUGACACUGACGCUGAGGUGCGAAAGCGUGGGUAGCAAACAGGAUUAGAUACCCGUGUAGUC
rnacentral:rRNA from 1 species